rnacentral:rRNA from 1 species
CUUGACUGUAUCCUGGAAUUGGGUUCGGGCUUUUCUUGCGCAGCCUAGGUGGGAGGCUAUGAAGAUUUCCUUCCGGGGAAGUUGGAGCCAUCAGUGAGAGACCACUCUGGAGAGGCUAGAACCCUAAUGGUGAUCCUUGAAUCAGGACACUUGACAGUUUCAGGUGGGCAGUUUUUCUGGGGCGGAAGCCUCAUAAAGGGUAACUGAGGCGCGCAAAGGUCCCCUCAGUCUGGACGGAAAUCAGACAACGAGUGUAAAGGCAAAAGGGGGCUUGACUGCAAGACCCACAAGUCGAGCAGGAGCGAAAGCUGGCCUUAGUGAUCCGACGGUGCCGUGUGGAAGGGCCGUCGCUCAACGAAUAAAAGUUA